rnacentral:misc_RNA from 1 species
GAUGAAGAACGUAGCGAAAUGCGAUAAGUAAUGUGAAUUGCAGAAUUCAGUGAAUCAUCGAAUCUUUGAACGCAUCUUGCGCUCCUUGGUAUUCCGAGGAGCAUGCCUGUUUGAGUGUCAUUUAACUUCUCAACCACAUUGGAUAUUUUUUUUCCGAUGCCGGCUUGGAUGUGGGGGUUGUUUGCAGGCUUUUUGUAACAAAAAAGGUCGGCUCCCCUGAAAUGUAUUAGUGGUAUCUGAGGCUAUUACUAUUAGGUGUGAUAAUUAUCUAUGCCUUUUGGGUAUGCCGCAUGAACAGAUUAUGCUGCUUCUAACGAAAACUAUUUUGAUGAAUUUGACCUCAAAUCAAGUAGGACUACCCGCUGAACUUAAGCAUAUCAAUAAGCGGAGGA